UCCAAGAGACCAAAAGCGCUAUAUUUUUUCCAUAUAUAUUGCCUCUUUCUGGUUACCAAUGUAGUACUUAUCUUUCCUAUCACCAAAAAACCUAAAUCAAACAGUUUAAUAAUGGUUCAUUCUUGCUUGUCUUAUAUUCCAACUGAGCGUUGUAAACCUCUUCCAGAUGACAUAUGGAUGGAUAUUCUAAGCAGACUUCCAGCAGAUCUAAGACCUAAUCCGUUGCCAACUUAUCUGCAGGUAGGCUGGAAAGAUUGUAAGAGGAUUCUAAAAGCGAAAAGCCUAGAAGACUUUCUACUCAGCUUGAAAAGAAAAGAAGCCUCAAGCCGAUAAGUCAUCAUGUUCGAUAAUUUCGAAAGAAGACCUGAGGGCUGAUCUACGACCAGGCUCGAUCUGGUUUAGUAUCAAGAUUUUACACGGAGGAUAUAGACAGAUGCACCUCUUUGAAAUGGAAGGCCAUGUCUCCUUCUGCAAGUUUUCAAUUUUCAGUGAUGGUAAGACGUCAAUGGAUACAUGGAUUUUAGGAGAUGAUCAUUAUACGUGGAGCCGAAGGGAGACGAUAAUUCUUGAUAUGACUUAUGAGCUGAAUAUUUAUGGGUAUCCAGGGGACGUAAAACCCAUUGGAAUCUUAAAUGGUGAGUUGAUCAUUUGUUGGGUUUCGUCAAAAUUGUUUGCUUUCCAUCUGCAGCGACGAACCAUGAGGAGCUAAUAGAGUGGGACUGGAAAUACUCCUACGUCACCAAUAUGUGCAUACACAGGAAUAUCCUUCUUUCUUUGAAAAACUACUCCAAAUUUCAAAAUCAUCGCUGUUGCACGCCGAGGUUAACGUGUUUGCUAUCGAAGUUAAAAAGAAUUAACUUUUUUUUUUCUUCCAAAGUUGACUUUGUGUCACACCCUUUUCCUACCCCCAAAUGAUAUAAUGUGUGUUAUGAGUUUGUGGGUUUGACAAAUUUGAGUAGGAAUUAUUUUAUUUAUAGAGUCACCACUUGGAAUUAAAUUUUUCGUUGUUCCAAGUCAUCAUUUAUUUGAAUCCCUAUUCAAAGG